rnacentral:lncRNA from 1 species
GUGUUUGGGCAUGUGAUGAUGGGAUCUAGGCCUAGGGCGUGCAUUUUAACCACAAAAACAAGUGCAACAAUUUUUUGGGUCUGGCAUGUGAGCCCAAUAGGACAAAGGUUCCAACGUCAUUAUAUUCCUAACUAAUGAAUUCAGAGACAUUUAACGUGCAGGCCCAUUACAGUUGUGGAAUUCUCGAUUUUAAUUCAAUGCAGCCUAGACAAUCUUUAGUCACUAUUCCAUCCCCAAUGCGAUUUACUACUUAAGUGUUUGUGUGUUAUUCCCGACUUAUAUAUUAAAAUUGAAGCUUCAAUGCUUGUGGUAAUUGAUAACUCAAACUCAUAUACAACAUGCGAAACAAAUCACCACACAAAUUUACACCUAAGGAUGCGCAGCCUAAGUCAAAUUCAGCUUUAUUCUAAGUAUACACCUGUUUGAAUAUUCAACUACACAAACAAAUCAUUCAUAAAACUGCCCUAGGCUAUAAGAUACCAACAGUCUAAUACAAGUCAAAACUCAAAAUCCCUAAAACACUUAUGAUUAAUGACAAGGUCUAAUUACUCGCAUCCCAGCUGGUUUAAUCUUCAUACAUGUAUAAGGUGGAAGUAACAACACAAAUAACUUACUUUUAUCUAAACACUUAACGUAAAACUGUCUAGUCUUACUACAGAAUUCGAAUAUUGGAUGCCAAAUGUGUGAAUCUACUUAUACAAUCCAGAGUCAAUUUAAUUAUACAAAACCAGCAGAGAUUUACAGAAAAUAGUUGAAUGAAAUGUCAAGUACACAAAUAAGGAAAAUAGCUAGAUCAGGAUUUAUGUUCAACUCUCCACAUAUACUCAUGCUUCAUAUUUUCAGCUUAUAAUUUCCAAAGUUACAGUCGUGUACCUGGAGUUCAAACAGAAACAAGAAGGAAAGGAGGUCAGUAGCAACAUACAUCAAACGACAACUUGAGAUCAAAUUUACAACUCAGUGCACAACAUCAGCCAUUCCAGAAUUGGGUUUUUGCUAAAUGCAGAUUCAACACUCCACCAAAUACACUCGAAUAAAUCCAACCAGCUAGCAUUUGCACCCAAAAAUCAAAUACAAGCAGCAACUAAACCGCUAGCUAAUUUAAACCAGUCAUAUCUGAAUCAAAUUGAUUCCCAACACAGUCACAUUUCAGAUACAGAACAGAAACAAAGAUAUUCCAAUUGUUUCUUAUCCUAAACGAGCUAAGGAACUGAAUUCCUGGCUCAAAAUUUGAAAAUGAUCUAAGAAAAUGUAAUGAAAUAAUAUUUUUUGUUUGGAUUUUUUACUAAUUUUCGGUAGAAAAAUUAAAAUCUAGAAGAUGGUUUUGAAAUUUCUAUUGAUUUCCAAUUCAAAAUCUAGGCUCAGAUUUGGAAAAUGGGUUUUU